GCAGUCGAGCGGUAACAGAUCCAGCUUGCUGGAUGCUGACGAGCGGCGGACGGGUGAGUAAUGCAUAGGAAUCUGCCCGAUAGUGGGGGAUAACCUGGGGAAACCCAGGCUAAUACCGCAUACGUCCUACGGGAGAAAGGGGGCUUCGGCUCCCGCUAUCGGAUGAGCCUAUGUCGGAUUAGCUAGUUGGUGAGGUAACGGCUCACCAAGGCCACGAUCCGUAGCUGGUCUGAGAGGAUGAUCAGCCACAUCGGGACUGAGACACGGCCCGAACUCCUACGGGAGGCAGCAGUGGGGAAUAUUGGACAAUGGGGGCAACCCUGAUCCAGCCAUGCCGCGUGUGUGAAGAAGGCCCUCGGGUUGUAAAGCACUUUCAGCGAGGAAGAACGCCUAGCGGUUAAUACCCGCUAGGAAAGACAUCACUCGCAGAAGAAGCACCGGCUAACUCCGUGCCAGCAGCCGCGGUAAUACGGAGGGUGCAAGCGUUAAUCGGAAUUACUGGGCGUAAAGCGCGCGUAGGUGGCUUGAUAAGCCGGUUGUGAAAGCCCCGGGCUCAACCUGGGAACGGCAUCCGGAACUGUCAAGCUAGAGUGCAGGAGAGGAAGGUAGAAUUCCCGGUGUAGCGGUGAAAUGCGUAGAGAUCGGGAGGAAUACCAGUGGCGA
rnacentral:rRNA from 1 species